rnacentral:rRNA from 1 species
CCCUUAGAUGUUCUGGGCCGCACACGCGCUACAAUGGCACAGUCAACGAGCUAAUCCUAUGCUGACAAGCACAGGUAAUCUUUUCAGUCUUUGUCGUGAUGGGGAUAGACCCUUGUAAUUAUUGGUCUCCAACGAGGAAUUCCUAGUAAACGCAAGUCAUCAACUUGCAUUGAUUACGUCCCUGCCCUUUGUACACACCGCCCGUCGCACCUACCGAUUGAAUGGUCCGGUGAAGUCUUCGGACCGAUGCUAACUCGUUGGCAACGGAAAGUCGAGUAAACCUUACCAUUUAGAGGAAGGUGAAGUCGUAACA